AACGCGAAGAACCUUACCUGGGCUCGAACGGCUUUGGAUCAUCUUUGGAAACAGAGACUUCUCGCAAGAGACCGGAGUCGAGGUGCUGCAUGGCUGUCGUCAGCUCGUGUCGUGAGAUGUUGGGUUAAGUCCCGCAACGAGCGCAACCCUUGUCCUGUGUUGCCACUCCCGUAAGGGAAGCACUCUCAGGAGACCGCCAGCGAUAAGUUGGAGGAAGGUGGGGAUGAUGUCAAGUCAUCAUGGCCUUUAUGUCCAGGGCUACACACGUGCUACAAUGGACGGUACAAAGCGCUGCAAACCCGCGAGGGGGAGCCAAUCGCAAAAAACCGUUCUCAGUUCGGAUCGCAGGCUGCAACUCGCCUGCGUGAAGCUGGAAUCGCUAGUAAUGGCGUAUCAGAACGAUGCCGUGAAUACGUUCCCGGGUCUUGUACACACGC
rnacentral:rRNA from 1 species